rnacentral:rRNA from 1 species
AUUGAACGCUGGCGGCAUGCUUUACACAUGCAAGUCGAACGGUAACAGGCCUUCGGGUGCUGACGAGUGGCGAACGGGUGAGUAAUGCAUCGGAACGUGCCCAGAGGUGGGGGAUAACGCAGCGAAAGCUGUGCUAAUACCGCAUGUGAUCUGAGGAUGAAAGCGGGGGACCAGGCAGCAAUGUUUGGCCUCGCGCCUUUGGAGCGGCCGAUGUCAGAUUAGGUAGUUGGUGGGGUAAAGGCCUACCAAGCCGACGAUCUGUAGCUGGUCUGAGAGGACGACCAGCCACACUGGGACUGAGACACGGCCCAGACUCCUACGGGAGGCAGCAGUGGGGAAUUUUGGACAAUGGGCGCAAGCCUGAUCCAGCAAUGCCGCGUGCGGGAAGAAGGCCUUUGGGUUGUAAACCGCUUUUGUACGGAACGAAAAGGCUCUGGCUAAUACCUGGGGCUGAUGACGGUACCGUAAGAAUAAGCACCGGCUAACUACGUG